GGAGGCUUUUGGAGGCACGAUGCAGGAGGGAGGGACUGCGGAACCCAAGUGCCUAAAGACACACCCUUCCAACCCUUCUGGGUCGAAUUUAGAACCCCCAACGCCAUCCUCAACUCCGCCAUCUGGCUUUUUCUCUUGUUCCCCUCUCCGCUUUGUGCCACCCCAGACUCCUUCUUCUCCAAGUAAAAUGCAAUAAGAGGAAUCCAUAGUUUUCUUCCAGGGAACGAGAACCGAAAGCAGGAAGGUGGAGGGCUGCCUUUUGUCGUUCCCCUUUAAACAGCAGUGUUUCACUUUUCUUUUUGUUGCUGUACAUCCUACGUAGUUCCAAGGGGAACUCUCCCUCUUUCUCUCUUUUUCUUCCUUUCUUUUUUUACCCCUUUCCUUUCUCUUUUUUUUUCUAAAUAAAAAUUUCCCCCAUGUUGCAAAGUUUUUAUAUAUUUAAACUACCUAUCAUGCCUGUUGCACUCAGGUGUUCGUUAUCUCCCCAUCCCCAUCCCUUUUCUACCUCAGAUCUGUAUGACCACUCACUGCCCCUCCCUUUGCCAAAGCAGUAUC
rnacentral:lncRNA from 1 species